GAUGAACGCUGGCGGUAUGCCUAACACAUGCAAGUCGUACGAGAGUUUUUAACUCUAGUGGCGGACGGGUGAGUAACACGUGAGAAUUUGCCUUUAGAGGGGGACAACAAUCGGAAACGAAUGCUAAUACCCCAUAUGCUUUCGAGUGAAAUGGAUUUUAUCCGCCUAGAGAGAAGCUCGCGGCUGAUUAGCUUGUUGGUAAGGUAAGAGCUUACCAAGGCGACGAUCAGUAUCUGGUUUGAGAGGACGAUCAGACACACUGGAACUGAGACACGGUCCAGACUCCUACGGGAGGCAGCAGUGGGGAAUUUUCCGCAAUGGGCGAAAGCCUGACGGAGCAAUACCGCGUGAGGGAAGAAUGCCUAUGGGUUGUAAACCUCUUUUUCAGGGAGGAAUCAAAUGACGUGUACCUGAAGAAUAAGCAUCGGCUAACUCCGUG
rnacentral:rRNA from 1 species